GGCACGAUGGCGGAGUGGUUAACGCGAUGCCCUGCUAUCUCUAUAAAAGAUUGUUAAGGCAUUUCCCUCGGGAGCGCAGGUUCGAAUCCUGCUCGUGUCG